GGGGUCCUUCCGUGUCUUCUCGGAAGACGGUUAACGGCCUGCCCGCCGGGAGGAGAAACAGACAAAGUGACCAAGAAGUAAACUGGAAAAAUUCACCUGCAAAAUAAAAGGACAAUGUGUGAAGCUAAUCAUUGCCUACCAUGUUCCUCUAUGUAUUAGAGGACACCCACCCGGUUCGGCUGAUUUCCCGCUGUUGAGAGAUCGUGUGGUUGUUCUGGGUGGCCCGCUGACCAGCGGACCAACGGCAAUUCAGGACAUUCAUUUAGCGCUCGAGUACAGUGUGACCAUGGACAAGAUUUUUAAAAGCAGGCAUACAAUAAGUACACGUAAGCAAUGGUAAUAAAUCCCUAUUUAAAAACACAUUUUAACAUAUCUUUCUAUCUAACCCGCAAGAGAGCUGUACCGUACGCUACUUCUCGCAUCUGUGUUUAACCGAACAUCGGCAGUGCUCAUGUAAAUUCGCAGUCCGCCUCCGAGCAAACCUUUCUCCCCAAGGGGUACUUAAGUAAGUGGAGGGUAAAAAGUUGCACGAAGUCCUUCGAGCCGGAAUCGAACCAGCGACCUAAGGAUUGCCACGGCUUGUC